GUCUCUGAAGGAUAAUAGUUCAUCCAUUGGUCUUAGGAACCAAAAACUCUUGGUGCAACUCCAAGCACAGACU
rnacentral:tRNA from 1 species